rnacentral:rRNA from 1 species
AUGAACGCUGGCGGCGUGCCUAAUCCAUGCAAGUCGAGCGCACAGACGAGGAGCUUGCUCCUCUGAUGUUAGCGGCGGACGGGUGAGUAACACGUGGAUAACCUACCUAUAAGACUGGGAUAACUUCGGGAAACCGGAGCUAAUACCGGAUAACAUGUUGAACCGCAUGGUUCAACAGUGAAAGACGGUCUUGCUGUCACUUAUAGAUGGAUCCGCGCCGCAUUAGCUAGUUGGUAAGGUAACGGCUUACCAAGGCAACGAUGCGUAGCCGACCUGAGAGGGUGAUCGGCCACACUGGAACUGAGACACGGUCCAGACUCCGACGGGAGGCAGCAGUAGGGAAUCUUCCGCAAUGGGCGAAAGCCUGACGGAGCAACGCCGCGUGAGUGAAGAAGGUCUUCGGAUCGUAAAACUCUGUUAUUAGGGAGAACAAAUGUGUAAGUAACUAUGCACGUCUUGACGGUACCUAAUCAGAAAGCCACGGCUAACUACGUG